rnacentral:rRNA from 2 species
GUGAGUAACACGUGGGUAACCUGCCCUUGAAGUAGGGGAUAACACUUGGAAACAGGUGCUAAUACCGUAUAACAACCAAAACCACCUGGUUUUGGUUUAAAAGACGGCUUCGGCUGUCACUUUAGGAUGGACCCGCGGCGUAUUAGCUUGUUGGUAAGGUAACGGCCUACCAAGGCGAUGAUACGUAGCCGACCUGAGAGGGUAAUCGGCCACAUUGGGACUGAGACACGGCCCAAACUCCUACGGGAGGCAGCAGUAGGGAAUCUUCCACAAUGGACGAAAGUCUGAUGGAGCAACGCCGCGUGAGUGAUGAAGGGUUUCGGCUCGUAAAACUCUGUUGUUGGAGAAGAACAGGUGUCAGAGUAACUGUUGACAUCUUGACGGUAUCCAACCAGAAAGCCACGGCUAACUACGUGCCAGCAGCCGCGGUAAUACGUAGGUGGCAAGCGUUGUCCGGAUUUAUUGGGCGUAAAGCGAGCGCAGGCGGUUUUUUAGGUCUGAUGUGAAAGCCUUCGGCUUAACCGGAGAAGUGCAUCGGAAACCGGGAGACUUGAGUGCAGAAGAGGACAGUGGAACUCCAUGUGUAGCGGUGAAAUGCGUAGAUAUAUGGAAGAACACCAGUGGCGAAAGCGGCUGUCUGGUCUGUAACUGACGCUGAGGCUCGAAAGCAUGGGUAGCGAACAG